UACGUAGGGGGCAAGCGUUGUCCGGAUUUAUUGGGCGUAAAGCGCUCGCAGGUGGUCCCGUUGCGUCGUGCGUGAAAGACCCCGGCUCAACUGGGGAGUGUCGUGCGAUACGGGCGGACUGGAGGCCCAGUAGGGGGAUGCGGAAUUCCGGGUGUAGUGGUGGAAUGCGUAGAGAUCCGGAGGAACACCAGCGGCGAAGGCGGCAUCCUGGCCCGUACCUGACGCUGAGGCGCGAGAGCGUGGGGAGCAACCGG
rnacentral:rRNA from 1 species